rnacentral:lncRNA from 1 species
CUAGCUGUAACGCAGAACCCUCGCAACACCAAAUGCACAAUGAUGCAGUUCAAUAGGGCUUCUCAUUUGUUGCUGGUGGUAAUGCAAAAUGGUAUAGUCACUUUGGAAAACACUCUGGUGGUUUCUUACAAAGCUAAACAUACUCUUUCCAUAUGAUCCAGCAAUCAUGCUCCCAGGUAUUUACUCAAAUGAGUUUAAAACUUAUGUCCACAGAAAAACUUGCAUAAGAAUGUUUAUAGUAGUUUCAUUCAUAAUCGCCAAAAUUUGGAAGCAAGCAAGAUGUCCUUCAGGAUGAAUGGAUAAACAAACUGUGAUACAUCCACACAAUGGAGCAUUAUUCAGUGAUAAAAAGAAAUAAGCUAUUAAGCUAUGAAAAGACAUAGAGAAAGCAUAAAAGAGAAAAAUCUUAAAAGCUAAGUGAGAGAAUUAUCUUAGGCUGAAAAAGCCACUUACUAUAUGGUUCCAAUUAUAUGAUAUUCUGUAAAAGGUAAAACUAUAAAGACAAUAAGAAGAUCAGAGGUUGUCAGGGAUUCAGGGGGAGGAGCAGAGGGACGAAUGAGGGAACACCCAGGGAAUUUUUAGGUCAGUGAAAUUAUUUUGUGAGAUACUGUAAUGGUGGAUACCCAUAGAACUGUAUGACACAAAGAAUGAACCAAAAUGUAAGCUAUGGACAGUAGUUACUAAUAAUAUAGCAGUUGUCUGACAUUUUUGAGAGGAUAACCAAAAAUUUGUUAUUGACACCACUCUCAGUCACCAUCAUGGUUAAGUUGCUCUUGUUUAGCUGUGAAACUUAUUUAUAGGUUAUGAUGUCGAGUUCAUGGAAGGUUUUUGCUGUUCAUCUCAUGGUUCGUCUUCUUUUUGUUUCUCCAAGUGAGAUCAUCUAAUGUACUGCUUUGGCUGUAAACACGACGCUUGGGAGAACACAGGCCACCAGGAAGACCACAAUGAUGACUAUCAGGAGGAUAAUACCAACAGACAGAAAUAUGCUUCUUAGCCAGGUUCCCCCUGAACCAAACCAGUUGGCAGUUGGCACUAAAUAAAUCAAAGAACGUACCUGAAGAGGCAUCAAUCUCUUUGAGUCAAGUGGCUUGUUUGUUAAUUUCUUGUAUGAAGAGUUACUGCAGUACCAGAAGUAUUGAUCCAGGUACAGUAGGAGCUAUUUCCUAUGGCACAGACUCCUCCUUGCUCAGCACAGAGGUAAUCUAAAGCAAUUCUAUUAUCUAACACCAUCUCAUCAGCUCAAAAGAAUCCUUUUGCCAAAGAGGCAUCUUUUGGGGUAGCACAUCUUGCUACCCUUCAAGGUCAUGCUGCCUUGGUUUGUGCUUGUUUUGUUUUGCUUCUCUCAUAUUUUUUUCAUCAGGCUACAGAAAUUUUGAAGAAAAAUAAUGGAAUUUAUAAUUUUUGCAAUAUUAUUAUCACUAAGUGUGGAACCUAAUUACUUUGCUUGUAUUUUUAAUUCUCAUAAUAACUCAAUGUGCUAAAAAUUAGCAUCAGUAUUUUCAUAAGAAUCGGGAAAAACUGAGUUAAGAUACCAGCGAAUACAUAUCUAGUAAAUUAUAGAGCCAAGAUGAAGCCCAAGUCUAAUUCAUUUCAACAGCAUUAUUUGCUAGCCUACCACACUGUCAUGGAUAAUUAAUCUUUAUGGCUUGGGAUAAGUUCUGGUAAUCAUUUUAGAAAUAAAUAUCAAGUCAUAGUCUCACAGAUAAAUGAGCAAUAGCUCACCGUGCUUCAAACAUUCUUUCUUCCCAUUUUAAUGCCAUAUCCCACCCACCACCAAUGCUUUACUCAGUAUUUCCAUUCAAGGACGCAUCUCCAAAUACAAGAAGUUUCCAAGAAUAAGCCAGACUCUUCUCCUGGUAAUGAAACAGGCAUCCAAGACUAUAUUAAUGAAAUAGGUAAUGCCAAUCCUUAGUGUCCAAUCCCAUUCCUCAUUAAGUCUGGAAUGGGUGAUGUUGAUAUAUAAAUCCUGUAAUGUAUAUGGAUCCUGCUCCAUUAUUCUUCUCCCCAUCUGCUCCCUACCAUCUGUCUCACCCGUUAUCAGAUGCUGAACCCUAAUGUUUGAGAUUCACUCUACUGAAGAUCAGGAGAUCUUGUUGACUUGGAGGCUUAAGAACCAAAACCAGAUUCUGAAUCCGUUGCUAAGUUGAAAUCUCCCAACUAAUAAACCCCACUAUAGGAUAUUCCUGAUGAGGACUGGACCACAGCAACUGGAUUGCUUGCAGAUCCUCUGAAUGAAACCAAGCCCUAAGUAACAUGGAUAUUUCUGAUUAGUCACAGAGCUUAUAAGAUACAUUCAACAUUGAGAUAUUUCAGGAUGGAGGGAUCACAUAUAUUCCCUAGCCCCCAUGAAGAACUGGCUCAGACAUGAAAAACUCCUCCUAAGACGCAUCUAGUAGUUUAUUGUAUUCAAAACAAUCACAGUCACAGUUUGAAGAAACUCCAAGCAAUAAGCAUACAGAAGAUUUCCCCAUAGAAUGUUCAAAAGGUUCCAUAGCAGAGGAAGGAUCCUGUGGGGUCUAUUCCAGAGGUAUUACAUGGUGAUAAUAAAAAGAUAGUGGGAAAUGGAGGGAAAACAGAUACAAGAAGGGGCAACAGACAGAGGAGAGAGCUGCAUAUGGAGGCAUCAACACUCUUCAAGUAGCUAAAGGGCUGGAAGGCUGAAGAAUGGUUGUCUUCACUGAAGUGAACAAUUGGAGUAUUGUCAGGUUAUAAGGCUAGUAAAGCAGAAGUUUCUUCAUUGAUCUUCUCUCUAAGGCCAUUACCUGUAGAAGGACACACAUGGUUACUAAAGAAUUUAAGAUGAAUAUUUUGAGCUCUUUCCUUCGGAUUCCUUCCUUUCCUCCCUUAAACCUUUGACUUUGGAAAGGUCUCUUAAUAUUCAUCUGAUCUCUGGUAAAUAUCACCUUUUCAACAUGAACUGAUAUACCCUACUCUCCAAGUGAGCAUGAAUGAGCAGACCAUGCUUUACCUUCUCUUAGAACUCUGGCACCACUUUUCAGAUUGGAGGAGCAAAAACAGGCAUUGACCUCCAAGAGAUUUCCAUUUCAUGCAAUGAAUCUACCCUAACCCAAAAAGAGUCAAGCUCUGGAAAUUCUUCUGAACUGAUGGUCUGCCUCAGGAAAUAUAAGCCAGGAAGUGCCCAAAUCUUGAAGCUGACUUUCCUAGAUCACUGGACUCAGUAUUUUAAUGUAAAACAAUGAUCUUAGGUACUGGAGAUAAUUUCCAAGACUGAAGAUGUGGUCUGGGUACACAUGUAUGGAAAAGGAUGGAUGAGGGACUGGGAAGCUUUGGGAUACUAGAAAAUGUUAACGUCUGAUUCUGUCCUAGAAAAGAUAAAUCAAGAGCCAUGAAUUUUCCUAUCUUUUUCCCUUAAAGGCAUCACAUAUCCUUUUCCCCGCUCUGUUUCUUUCCCUUGGAUAACUCCAUAUGUGUCUUCCUUUGACCACAUCAAACCCACCUGCAGAUGCCUCACAGAGGCCCUCGGCGUUCAACAGCAUUGCCUUUGCGCACACCCUUGAUGAUGAAGAUGGUCCCAACAAUGAUUCCUACCAGACCCACAACCAGGCCCAGGCCACACACCACAUUCUCUGUUGUCUCUGAGAGGGGAGUUGGCGCUUCAAACUCUGGGUAAGAAGAAAACAAUACAGAAGUAACAAAUGUGGUAGGGAAUAGCACUUAGGACCAAAUGUAGGGUACUUAGAUAAAAGAAUAGUUAUUAGUCAAUUAAAUAAGAGGGAGACAGAAUGAUGAAGUAAGAGAAUUACAGAUUAGAGAGUAGAGGAAGCUGGUUAAUGAGAGAAGACAAGGAAUAGGAAUUGCAGCCAUUGUUAUGAAACAGGGGACUUAGAGUUCCAAAGGACCAGACAUGUGUUUCAAAGGAGGAAACCAUAAAAGAAAGGAGAUUGAAGAAUGGUCCAUACCCCAGUGCUUGAGAAGAGGCUCAUCCAAACCCCAAUGCUCCACCUUGCAGUCAUAAACAUCCUCAGUUGAGGGCAAGAAGGGGAGAUAGUGGAACUUGCGGAAAAGUUGGUCAUCCCUGGGCAGGAAGACUGUCUCUGACACUCCCGUGGUGACAGGUUUUCCAUUUUUAAGCCACGUGACAUCGAUCACUGGUGGGGAGAACUUGUCGACGAAACAGAUGAGAACGUUGGGCUCUCCCAGUUCCACAGGCUUGUUUGGGAGCACAGUCACCUCUGGAGGUACCAUUGGUGUUUGGAGUGUUGUUGGAGCGCUUCAUCAUGAUCUCCAGGUUGGCUUUGUCCACAGCUAUAUUGGCCAAAGCACCCUGAGCCUCAAAGCUGGCAAAACGUCCAAAUUCUUCAAGCCGCCAGACCGUCUCCUUCUUGUCCAUAUCCACGUGAAAAAUCUCAUCACCAUCAAAGUCAAACAUAAACUCUCCUGAGUCGUCAGGGUUCAGAUAGAACUCAGCCUGGAUGAUCACGUGAUCCUCUGAAAAGACAGGAAAGGGAACUAGGAUGAGAAGCAGGAGAAGGAGAUGAAGAAGAACCCAGGAUGUGAGGCACAAACAUGUGGGCAGAGGACAGUGGAAAGUGAUAGUACCAAGUGGAAUGGAGGAGUAAUGGAGAGUAGGGAUGAGUGGGAAGGUGAGGCCUGGGUAAAGGACACCUGUGCUAAACAGAGCUGGGAGGGGAGAGGCAAAGGGGCAGUGUUGGAGAGGGUGGGUUGAAAGGAAUGAUGUCUAAAAAACCCAGUCUUGUGAAACUGCUUUUAGCUCCAUGUUACUAGCUGAGAAAUGAUUCCUUCUUGAGAAAUCUAGCAGCAGCUCCUAAAAGAGAAAGGUCUCUCACUCUCUUUGCCCAGGCAUUGAAUACACUUCAGCCAGAACCCCAGGGCAUCUCUCAAGAGCAUUGUAACUCUAAGAAGAGGGAAACUGUUUAAAAGGCUGGGUUCUGAACUCUAGAAUCAAAUUAAAUAUUGAAUUCUUACUUGGCUACUCACUUACCUAGUGAUUUUGAGUAGAUUAUUUUACCUAGAUUAGUAGAUUAUAAGCAGUUAUCCUAUUAUAAUUCUUCUGUGGUUUUGCUUCCAUUCUGGAUUUGUUUUUAAGAUUAAAUGAGACAGUAAGUAAUUUCUUGGUAUAUCAUUAGGCUUAUAACAAAUAUUUUAGGGUCAGAAAUUGCUUUGCAUUUAAGGACUAGACCCAUGGAAAAUAUAACUAGGACCUGAGGUCUCCAGAAAAUUAAGAUUGUGACCUUGCAGUGUGGUAGAGCACCGACUUUCCUGGAUCCACACCCACACCACGGAUACCUCUGUGAGAAGGAUUAUAUUUGGAUUUAUCUCAGCAAAGUGCCCUUGUAUCUUAACAUGCCUUAAAUUGAGACUAUCAUCAUGGGACAUAUUCUAUUAUGGUUGAUACUAAGAAUAAUCUAUACUAAGAGAAUAAUUAACUUGAAAAAAGAAAGCUACAAUUGGAGAGCAUUCAGUCUCUGUGGUGUAUGUAGAUGGGAGAAGAAUUUUAAAGUCUGACUGUAUAUUGAUAAAGCCAGGGAUUUAUUUAGCAUUUGCAACUAUGCACGUGCACACACACACACACACACACACAUUCUGGCUGCUCCUUUCCAUUCCAUGGGAAUAGCCUCUGUCUUUCCCGGUAUGCAUCCCCAUAUAUAGCUCUUUCCAGGCAAUAGAAACCUACAGUCACCAUCAUGGGUCUUGAAGCUGGGUUAUUACUUUAUUUAUUUCCAGUCUACCUGCCACCCUCUGUAGGGAUCACUCUGAGUGAAGAAUAUUUUUUCACAACAGUUUGCUCUGGAGAUGACAGAAUAGCAGACUCUCCACUUUACCCAUUUUUCUACUCUCUUGGGGAUAUCACUUAGUAAUAGUAACCAAAGAUCAUGGUAAGAUCCACUGUAGUGGGGGACUAUCACUGUCCCAAGAGGCAGUAAAUUAAGUGCAAUUCAUAUCAGCGUACCCGUCCUUCCCCCUCCCUUGGGUAGAUUAUUGCUUUUUGGUGACUUUCGUUCCUACUGAUCUUCAAUAAAAUGUCUGUGCUCAAAAUAUGCUGACAGGAUUCUCACACCAAAAAAAUAACUACCAUGUUUUCAGCUAAGAAUAGGUGCCAAGAACUCCUCAUGCUUUUUCUCAUUUAAUCCUCACAAAAUUAUGUGAGGUUUUUAAUUUUCCUAAUUUUCCGGAAAAAAAAAAUUAAAGCCUGGAGAGGUAGCUUGUUAAUGCCUGUCAGAAAAUAUUUCCCCCUCAAGUCUGACUUAUCUCAAAGUCAGUGGUAGUAAUCAACAUACAUCUCAGCUUUGCCCCUCUAAAGUAAAUUAGACUUACUUCAAUCCGUGGUGAGGAGAAAGCUCUUCGAACUACAAUUUAUUGUACUUUUAGAUUUAGACCCACAUAACACCUGUCACACUUUUCUUCACUCUAAAGAUUGUCUUGCAAGUGUCGACAGUUCAUUCUCCAGUCCUCUCAGACCUUGUUGUCCCUGGUUUUGAUUCUCUCAGCACUUACCUUUAAUAGCCCGUGAUUCCUCAAAGCUCAUCAGGACAGCUGUGAUGAAAAGUCCCAGCAUAGGGACUCCACUUAUGGCCAUUUUCUUCUUGGGUGCUUUGAUGGGGGUCAGCAGAGGUUAAGAAUGGGACAGCACAGACAAGAAUAAAAGAAAAGAGAGUGUAGGGUGUGAUAGCGUCUGACCGACUAAAAUUCAAAUCAGUUGAGCUUCAGCCAAUCAGAAAAAUUCUUGGAGAUGACACAUCUGUUGCCAAGGGCAGGACUCUUGUAAAGGGCUCAGGAAAGGAAACACUUCAUUCAUCAG